ACAGCUACCUGGAAGACGACCCAGUGGCUGCCUUUUGAUGCCAGCCUGCUGCUUUUAAUGCAGUAGGUCUGCAACCAACACAAGCCAGUUAGACGCAAGCAGAAAUGGAGCUCCAGGUUUGUCACUCCUGUGGAUGGUCCAAAGUGACAACUUACCAGGGCCUGAGAACUCACCAGGGGAAGAUGGGAUGCACCCCGAAGGGUGUGAGGGUUUCAGACCCUCCACAGCAUUACACACAGAGCUAUGUGGGUCACACAAAAACUCAAAUGGACCUCAGGGUAGAUGUCCGCGCCUCUUUCAAGAUUGAAACAGAAACAACAGAAUAUUCAAACGUGAGCCUUCAGGUUUGUCACUGCGGAUGGAACAAACUUACGACUUACCAGGGUUUAAGAAUUCACCAGGGGAAGAUGGGAUGCACACCAAAGGGAGUGAGGAUCCCCAAAAAAGAGCAGUACAACUGGAAAAAUCAGUGGGAGGAGGACACGGAAUACUGGAAACCAGCUAAGAAGGCGACUGUAAAGGAGGAGAAUUUUCCAGAGUCACCAAGCAUGUACGGCUAUGCCAACUCUGGAGCAACGGCCAUAUUCAAGGAAGAAUACAAACUGACAGCUUCUGCAUAUACACAGCACUACUCCCAAAGAUCCAGAAAGUCACACCACCAGCUGCAGGAACACUCCACCCUUCCACAGGUGAGCAGACCUGCCAGGGAGCCUUCAGCACCAUCAUACCCAGGAAAUGUAGUCAGGCCCAAGGAGAAGAAAGUAAAGCAGAAAACAUUAUCACAGAUAGAAAACAGCAGCACGAUGGCAGAAUACCUGAGUGUUGACCUCUAUAGAGACUAUGCAACAACAGCAACCAAAAUCAAGCAGGAGCCCAAAUCACCACUUCGCACAACUCCACAGUCAUCUUUCCAAAGAGCCAGCCGUCGCCUGCCACAGGAGUUCUCCCCUGGUGUGGAGAUACAAAGAUCUGUACCUCCAACUCCUCCACCACGGGAACAAGCAGUGCUGCCUGUGAAAAAAGACAGCAGGGAGCAAACACAGGUGAACAGACCUGCCAGGGAGCCUUCAGCACCACCACACCCAGGAAACAUAGUCAGGCCUAAGAAGAAAAAAGUGAAGCAGCAAACAUUUCCACAGACAGAAGACAGUAGUGAACUGGCAGGAUAUCUUAGCAUUGACUGCUCUGCAGACUAUCCAACAACAGCAACCAAAAUCAAGGAGGAGCCCAAAUCACCACUUGCAACCCCACAACCAUCUUUCCAAAGAGCCACCAGCGUUCGGCAGCAGGAGGUUCCCCUGGAAGCAGCAGUGAUGCUCAAAAAUCAAGAGAGGAAGAACCAAACACAGAACUCACCAGGACCAGCAAAGACAAGCAGCAGUAACAGCUCUGCAGCAACGUUCAGAGAGGAUGAAUAUGACUCAGUUUCUGCACAACGCUCCACCCAAAGAGCCAAUAACUCAAAAUCAGACCAUCAGCUUUACGAGUUCUCCAGCCUUCCACAGGUGACUGCACCUGCCAGGGAGCCUUCGGCACCAUCAUGCCCAGGAAAUGUAAUCCAAUCUAAGGAGGAAAAAAUAAAGCAACAACCAUUAUCACAUGCAGUAGACAGUAAUGCAGUGACAGGAUAUCUAAACAUUGACCCAUCUGCAGACUAUGCAACAAUAGCAGUCAAAAUCAAGGAGAAGCCAAAAUCACCACCCGCAACCUCACAACCAUCUUUCCAAAGAGCCACCAGUGACCAGCAGCAGGAAUUCUCCACGGGUUUGAAGGUUAGAAGAUCUGUCAGAGAACCUCCAAGUACUCGAGAACCGGAAACAGCAGAGCUGAUAGAAAAGAAAGAGACGAAUGAUCAGAGACAGGUGAUGAGUCCAGCAACCACAAACCCAGCACCAGCAGGCCAAGCUGAGGAAAAUCACACGCAGAAUCAAACAUUUUCACAGGUGAGCAAAUCAGCCAGAUGCCACCCGACAGCUAAACCUCCGGUCCCGCCGAAGAAGAAGAAUUCGGCUUUAUUCAAGGAAAGGCUGGAGAGAUUUAAAGCUGAAUUACAGCCAAAAAUUCAGAUGACAGAGGGGAAGAACUGUGAAGUCAGAGCCUGCAGACCAGAGAGCGUCCCAAAUGUAACGAGUGCAAACACACAAACAAGUCCUGCAGCAGCGGACGUCUCACCGAAGGACAAUCCAACACAGUUGGAUCACGCUGCAGAGGCUGAGCUCUCCACUGGUGUGAAGGUGAAGGAACUCGCCCGCAUGUUUUCAGCCAAGGAAACGCUGAUUUCAACAAAGGAGAAACACGGAGCCAACCAAAAACCGUCUCAGGUGAAACUGCUGGCUCAAAGGUUUUCAACUAUUUCUGCCCAGGAAACAGCAGCCAAAGCAAAGGAGGAGCAUGGAGAGGAGCAGAAACCCACACAGAUGGUGACAGAUUCAAAAAGCGAUCCCAUCAAAAUCAAUUCUGCAGCAGCGAAAGCAUCACUAACAGCGGAGAAGGAUCCCAAAUUAUCAUGUGAAAAUGCACCACUCUCAGAUUUCUCCUCUGGUUUAAAGGUGAAGGAUCUGGCCCGGAUGUUUUCAGCCAACACAACACAGGAGAAAACAAUCGGACUAAAAGAGAAACGGAGAGAAGAACAGAAACCUGCAAACGGCGUAAACCACAAUCAAUCUCGUUUAGAAAGCAGAGAGCAUAAUGUGGUGAAGCUGCUUAUCCAGAAGCUUUCAGCCAGGGAAACUAAAGAUCAUCAAAAAGAGAAAGACACAGACACGAAGGAUCGAAACCACUCAAAGGUACAGCACACAUUUCAUUUUUUCAAUCUCUGUUUCAGAUUUUUCCUCAAGCUUUUAGUCCUGAGUUUUAGAACUGCAGCCAGUGCUCAAUUAGCAGCUGAUUUGUUGGAAACGUGGAAACUCAAGUCUCAAACAUGA
ensembl:lncRNA